AAGUAUGUUGUGGUAAGGCAGAGGUCUAACAGUGUGCAGAUCUGAUUGGGUGUGAAGUUGGUCCUGUCUUCCAAGGAGCUGUCUUCUUGUAGUCGUUUUCUGACAGUCUCCACAGCCUCCGUGGUGGAUAUGCAAGUGAAGAGAGAGACUACAUCAAAGGACACCAUGGUUUCAUCUGGAUCCAGGGUAAGUUUCUGGACCUUGUCGGUGAAGUCGGUGGAGUUCUUGAUGUGGUGUGGGGUGUUCCCCACGAGAGGUGCAAGGAUGGUAGCAAGGUGUUUUGCAAUGUUAUAAGUGGCUGAGUUUAUUCUACUGACUAUGGGUCGGAGUGGGACAUCUUCCUUGUGGAUUUUAGGAAGUCCGUAAAUGCAGGGUAUGGUAUCCCCUGGAUAAAGGCGGUGAUAUGUAAGGCGGUCAAUGAUUUUUCAAGGUCCUGAAGGCAAGCUAUAACUUUCUUUUUGUAGCUGCUUGUGGGGUCUCGUUUUAAGGCUUUGUAGGUAUGGUUGUCACCGAGGAGAGUAGUAAUCUUUGUGUGGUAAUCUGUAAUGUUUAGGACCACCGUUGUCGACAUAGUGGACAGAAUUCCCAACAUUCUGGCAUCCCACCCACAGGCCAACUGGCUCAUCAUCCACAUCGGCACCAAUGACAUCCCCAAACAGCAAUAUGAGCUGCUGAGGCUUCAGCCUCCUUUGUCAGUAGCAGGAAGUGAUGCAGAUGCAGUCUACAGCAGUGAGAACAUAUGAAGAUGUCAGUGAUGGACAAAUAGCCAACAGACCAAAUGGCACGAGAGGUGCAGUAGUCCACCAGUCCAACUGCCGCAAUCCAGCUGCUUGUCUCUAACUGACUCCCCCAACACCUCAGACCAGAGGACAUCAUAAUGUUCAAAAUUGAGCUUGACUCCAUCCUCAACCCGAAAAGGCCCCACAAGCUCAUCUUUGAUGAUACCAGCCCAAACCAGUACUCCACCUCCACCUUGCUGGCGUCUGAGUGGGACUGGAGCUCUCUGCCCUUUACCAAUCCAGCCACGGGCCCAUCCAUCUGGCCCAUCAAGACUCACUCUCAUUUCAUCAGUCCAUAAAACCUUAGAAAAACCAGUCUUGAGGUAUUUCUUAGCCCAGUCUUGACGUUUCAGCUUGUGUGUCUUGUUCAGUGGUGGUCGUCUUUCAGCCUUUCUUACCUUGGCCAUGUCUCUGAGUAUUGCACAAUGUUAGAUUAUAAUAUUAUUUUAUGCCAUGUUAGACCCCUAAUUAAAGAUUGUGAAUUAUUAUGUAGUUUUAGUUUGCAUUAUUCUCC
ensembl:lncRNA